rnacentral:tRNA from 1 species
UGUUGAUAGUAUAACCAAGUACAGUUGCCUUCCAAGCAAAAAGCCCUAAAAGGUCAAUAUA